AAGGGCAGAGUCUGGGAUGAAGGAAGCGCGUGGACACCAGUCUCCACUUGGUCCCCUCCCCGCCUUAGCCCUCAGCCAGGCCAUGCAGGGGUGUUGGGAGCAGUCCCGUGUGCCCGAGUGAGCCACCGGCCUUAUUCCAAAUCAGGCCCCAGUCCCGGUGAGGGGGUGUCCCUGGGGCCAAGGGGCAGGAAUUAGGGGGAAUGCGGCUUUCUAAUGGGCCACAGCCUCCAUCUGCAUAUGACCAGCUUUGUUCUCAGGGCCUGAAAUCUAGCGGGCUAAGGACUGCCUUCUAUACUUUGUUUGAAUUCAGAUUAGGAGCAAUGGCCCCAGGAAUCAGCUAACCCUUGUUCAAACCCGUCUCUGUCAGUUACCAGCUGUGUAAUCUUGAGCAAGUUACUUCCGCUCUCUGAGUCUCAGUCUCUUCAUUGGAAUUAUGGAAAUUAUAGCAGUGAUUCUGGGUUGAGUUUUAAAUCAAAGAGUCCAUCUGAAAGGGAUUAGCACGUCUUCAGGUGGACGGCGGGCCUUCCAUCCUUGGACCACCUUGAUGGGCUCACCUCCACGCCUGAUAAAGAUAUCACCCUCCUCCGCUCCCCUCUGGAAAGCAGCCCUCAUCUUGCGUACCACGCCCACUCUCUCGCUCCCAGCAGCAAGUGAAAGUUCUCUCCCUGUGGCAGUGGAUCAACGCAGACCCCAUUAGACACUGGUUGUGAGAUGCUGGGGAGACUCACUUCUGUGGGACACGGCAUAGAACCACUGUAAUGCAAGUAAGCUGGCUGACCAAAGAAACACUGGGAAUUGCAUCCUUUCAGAGCUGGUCUGCCUCUGAAUUCAAGAGGAGCAGCACGUUCCUGGGUGCCACUGCUGCGGGGACCAGGCUGGAGAGAAGGACCUGCUCAGACAAGGCUCAGCCAGGACCCCAGAUCACGCUGCACUUCUGUCUCCCUGCGGUACCAAGGAUAGCUUCAUCGUCAAGGUUGCAGGACUCCAUUCAAGACCCAAAGAGGCACCAGUGAAGCUUUCAAGAGGGACUGUGGAAGUCAGUCUGAGGGCUGGUCCGUGCCCGAGGGCACCAAGGCUUGAGCAUCUGAUCCCAAAUGGUCCCAGAGGCACUUGAACCUUUUCUCCCUCCCCUAAGUGGCUGCGGGUCUCAUGUUUCCCUGGCUCUGUGAUGUCCCUGGGCUGGUCCUCACAGUCAGCUUUGAUCAGAGGUCCUAGAGCUCCCAGAUGAGCCUGGAUCUGAGCGGUUCCCCCAGCCAUCCUCGAACCGGGAACACCAGCGCCCUCCACGAGGUCUCCAUCACCAAGGAUGGAGGUCUAGCCUCUUCCCUCGGCUUGAGUGAGGGGGGAAGCAGGGAGGAGGGCACAUCCAGGCAGUUUCUGAUGCAAUUAGUAUUAAAAGAUGCAAGGACAGUGAGGUCAAACCUGACAGGCAGUGCUCAUAUCAACGCCCGAAAAAAAGUGAAACAUUAGCUUCAUUUCAACUUUCUCAGGAAGAAGGCAGUGGAGAUCAGUUG